rnacentral:pre_miRNA from 1 species
CAACUACUCCCUCUGUCCCAAAUUUCUUGUCUUAGAUUUGUCUAGAUACAGAUGUAUCUAAUACUAAAAUGUGACUUGAUACAUCCGUAGCUAGACAAAUCUAAGACAAGAAUUUUGGGACGGAGGGAGUACUUU